rnacentral:rRNA from 1 species
GACGAACGCUGGCGGCGUGCUUAACACAUGCAAGUCGAACGGAAAGGCCCUGCUCUUGUGGGGUGCUCGAGUGGCGAACGGGUGAGUAACACGUGAGUAACCUGCCCUUGACUUUGGGAUAACUUCAGGAAACUGGGGCUAAUACCGGAUAGGAGCUCCUGCUGCAUGGUGGGGGUUGGAAAGUUUCGGCGGUUGGGGAUGGACUCGCGGCUUAUCAGCUUGUUGGUGGGGUAGUGGCUUACCAAGGCUUUGACGGGUAGCCGGCCUGAGAGGGUUACCGGCCACAUUGGGACUGAGAUACGCACCAGACUCCUACGGGAGGCAGCAGUGGGGAAUAUUGCACAAUGGGCGGAAGUCUGAUGCAGCAACGCCGCGUGCGGGAUGACGGCCUUCGGGUUGUAAACCGCUUUCGCCGGUGACGAAGCGUGAGUGACGGUAACGGGUAAAGAAGCACCGGCUAACUACGUG